rnacentral:rRNA from 1 species
GAUGAACGCUAGCGAUAGGCUUAACACAUGCCAGUCGAGGGGCAGCAUGGUCUUAGCUUGCUAAGACUGAUGGCGACCGGCGCACGGGUGCGUAACGCGUAUGCAACUUGCCUCACAGAGGGGGAUAACCCGUCGAAAGACGGACUAAUACCGCGUACACUCCAUCUUGGGCAUCCAAGGUAGAGGAAAUGAAAUUCGCUGUGAGAUAGGCAUGCGUCCCAUUAGCUAGUUGGUGAGGUAACGGCUCACCAAGGCGACGAUGGGUAGGGGAACUGAGAGGUUGAACCCCCACACUGGUACUGAGACACGGACCAGACUCCUACGGGAGGCAGCAGUGAGGAAUAUUGGUCAAUGGGCGAGAGCCUGAACCAGCCAAGUCGCGUGAAGGAUGACUGUCUUAUGGAUUGUAAACUUCUUUUAGACGGGAAUAACAAGAGUCACGUGUGACUCCCUGCAUGUACCGUAUGAAUAAGCAUCGGCUAACUCCGUG